AUUGAACGCUGGCGGCAGGCCUAACACAUGCAAGUCGAACGAGUGGCGGACGGGUGCGUAAUGUCUGGGCAACUGCCUGAUGGAGGGGGAUAACUACUGGAAAAGUUCGCUAAUUCCGCAUACCAUCCUAUCGGCCCAGAUGGGUUUAGCUGGUUGGGGGGGUAACGGCUCAUCAAGGCGACGACCCCUAGCUGGUCUGAGAGGAUGACCAGCCACACUGGAACUGAGACACGGUCCAGACUCCUACGGGAGGCAGCAGUGGGGAAUAUUGCCCAAUGGGCGCAAGCCUGAUGCAGCAAUGCCGCGUGUAUGAAGAAGGCCUUCGGGUUGUAAAGUACUUUCAGCGGGGAGGCGUUACCCGCAGAAGAAGCACCGGCUAACUCCGUGCCAGCAGCCGCGGUAAUAC
rnacentral:rRNA from 1 species